GACGAACGCUGGCGGCGUGCCUAAUACAUGCAAGUUGAGCGCUGAAGGUUGGUACUUGUACCAACUGGAUGAGCAGCGAACGGGUGAGUAACGCGUGGGGAAUCUGCCUUUGAGCGGGGGACAACAUUUGGAAACGAAUGCUAAUACCGCAUAAAAACUUUAAACACAAGUUUUAAGUUUGAAAGAUGCAAUUGCAUCACUCAAAGAUGAUCCCGCGUUGUAUUAGCUAGUUGGUGAGGUAAAGGCUCACCAAGGCGAUGAUACAUAGCCGACCUGAGAGGGUGAUCGGCCACAUUGGGACUGAGACACGGCCCAAACUCCUACGGGAGGCAGCAGUAGGGAAUCUUCGGCAAUGGACGAAAGUCUGACCGAGCAACGCCGCGUGACUGAAGAAGGUUUUCGGAUCGUAAAACUCUGUUGGUAGAGAAGAACGUUGGUGAGAGUGGAAAGCUCAUCAAGUGACGGUAACUACCCAGAAAGGGACGGCUAACUACGUG
rnacentral:rRNA from 1 species